UGACCUGCGGAAGGAUCAUUACCGAGUGUAGGGUUCCUAGCGAGCCCAACCUCCCACCCGUGUUUACUGUACCUUAGUUGCUUCGGCGGGCCCGCCAUUCAUGGCCGCCGGGGGCUCUCAGCCCCGGGCCCGCGCCCGCCGGAGACACCACGAACUCUGUCUGAUCUAGUGAAGUCUGAGUUGAUUGUAUCGCAAUCAGUUAAAACUUUCAACAAUGGAUCUCUUGGUUCCGGCAUCGAUGAAGAACGCAGCGAAAUGCGAUAACUAGUGUGAAUUGCAGAAUUCCGUGAAUCAUCGAGUCUUUGAACGCACAUUGCGCCCCCUGGUAUUCCGGGGGGCAUGCCUGUCCGAGCGUCAUUGCUGCCCAUCAAGCACGGCUUGUGUGUUGGGUCGUCGUCCCCUCUCCGGGGGGGACGGGCCCCAAAGGCAGCGGCGGCACCGCGUCCGAUCCUCGAGCGUAUGGGGCUUUGUCACCCGCUCUGUAGGCCCGGCCGGCGCUUGCCGAACGCAAAUCAAUCUUUUCCAGGUGACCUC
rnacentral:rRNA from 1 species